CUGACGAGGAUGAGAACCUCCGGGGGCAAGAGGUUCGACCCGAGCGAAGCGAGAGAACGUUGCGUCAGCAACGGCCCGCAGGGCGAGCCACGCAGUGGCGAGUCAUCCUCUAUCACCGACCA
rnacentral:sRNA from 1 species